GGUUGCGUGGUGUAACGGCUUAAAGCGUCAGCCUCUUGCUGUAGCAGGAGUUCGAGGGUUCGAAUCCCUUGGCAGCUA